rnacentral:misc_RNA from 1 species
ACAAAUUUCUAGCAAAGGCUCGAAGCUGCUGUCUCCUUUCUCUAAGGAACACUCACAACUAAAUUUGCACAAAGCUUCUGUCAUAGAGGGAAGGUCUAUUAGAAUGAUGGGAGUGUCUGAAGAUGAGGUUGAUAAAGUUCUACAAAAUGCAAAAAUGGACUUUAGAAUUGCUGGAUUUGAUGAAGAGGAAAAAAGAAUGAGGCAGCGAUUGUCAGAUAAAACCCAUGCUUUGCUUAAACUACCCCAAGGACCUUAUACCUUUAGUGAUUUUCGGACACUUGAAAUUCCUGGGAUAGAGCUGAACCCUCCNNNNNNNNNNNAUUGAAAAGGAUGCAUAUGCUUGCUGCUGAUCCUGGAAUUGUUGCGAUAAUGAAAAAGCACCAUUGGCAUGUUGGAAUUAUGACCGAGUUGGCCCCUGUUGGUUAUGUCGGUGUGACUCCUAAGUGUAUUCUUGGAUUCAAUAAGAAUCAUGGAGAAGAGAUAUCUCUGCGUCUUCGAACUGAUGACCUCAAGGGUUUCAGGAAAUAUGAAAGCAUCAAGAAAACACUUUUGCAUGAACUGGCUCACAUGGUAUACUCAGAACAUGAUGCAAACUUCUAUGCUCUGGAUAAACAGUUGAAUCAAG